rnacentral:rRNA from 1 species
AAGUCUGACCGAGCAACGCCGCGUGAGUGAAGAAGGUUUUCGGAUCGUAAAACUCUGUUGGUAGAGAAGAACGUUGGUGAGAGUGGAAAGCUCAUCUUGUGACGGUAACUACCCAGAAAGGGACGGCUAACUACGUGCCAGCAGCCGCGGU